UAAAAGCAUUAUAAAUAACGGAUGACUGACGAGAAAACCGUGCAAAACGUUUCCGCCUUCUCGGCACAAAGAAAACAUUUCGUGCAUCACACGCGCCAUUCAGUCUUACCGGGAACGUUCGAGACGAACUAUAUUUCGUAGCGAGUAUCGAGCAUGAAAGUUCAAGUGAUCGCGUUGUUAAUGAUUGCCAUGUUGGCAAUGACCAUCGCGGGACAGCCGAAAAACAAUAACCAACGUUCACCGAAAACUGUUUUGAAUUCAACAGUAGGUACCGAGAAUAUUAUACAGGUGCCAGAUAGAACGUGUACAGAAAAUCAUCAACUUGAUGCUAAUGGAGUUUGCCGAGAAGUAUUUAAAAUUUAAGAAGACUUGCGAUUCGACGAUACGAGCGAUGUCAUCCGCAAGCUACAAGCAAUGCGAUGAAAUAUCGUAACGGCGGCGUCAAAAAAAAGAGAGAGACUAGGCAAUCCGUUUGUUUCGUAUUAUCGAAGAAAAAAGCUAUUUCGACAUCAGCAAAUUGAAGAUAAAUUAACAGUUUUUUUUAUUAAAUGCAGUUAGCGGCAUUUAUUAUUCAUUCAAUUUGCGUUACUGUAAUUAUGUUAUAACUUGUCGCCAUAAUAUUUUUGUAAUUUUUUUACAAGCUAAAAUAAGGUAGUAAUAAACUACUAAUAAAAUAGCAUAAACAAAUUUCUGUCGACUUAACUGCGCGUAGUCUAAGAAUCAUUGUACGCACUGUAAUUUUAACGAUAAAUUAUCUGUCAAAUUUAGAAUAGGAACACUUUUAUAAAAGAAAAAACUCAUAUCUUAGAAAAAGAGAAGUUUAUUUCGUUAUAUUUGAGUCAAGAUUUUACCUAUUAUAACUAUUUUAUUAUUAUUUACAAACAUAUGGGAGUGAAUAAAAGAAAUAUUCAUAAUCGCCUCUUUAAUAUAUUCGCAAUCAUCUCUUUAAAAUAAUUUCAUACAAAUAAUGUAAAUCUCUCAAAGGAUGAAACAAUUAAAACUAAAUAAAUAUUUAAAACAGCAAAAAUGCGGAGUCUAUAUCAUUUUAUUGCUCGAAUGGAAAUAUUGUAGCAUGUGUUUGCCGACAAAUAAUGAGAACAAUCUUCUGGUGAUCAAAACAUGUAAUAUUUUUAAAAUGCUCUCGAUCAUAAUAUAGAUGUUACUCAGUGACGCGGCUUGAUAGAGUAUUUACCGCAAGCGAAUUAAGUGAAACACAUAAAAUUAGCAACUUCCUGCGAUUCGAAUCUGUGUAAUAUCUAUUAAAGUUUUUCACAUAAUUUAUAAGUUUUAUAAAUUAGCGUUAAAUUGAACUAAUUUUUCUGAACAAUGUAUAGUAAAUCAUAGAAGGGAAUGAUUCAUUUAAGUUUUCAACGUUUAUACUGCGAGUGUAUGUUCCCCAAUUUACUCCACUGACAUUUCUCAAACGUGUAACUUCUUAUCGCGGUGAAAAAGUUUAAGUUUCAAUCCGUAUUUUUGUUUUUUGCAACAAAAUUCAGCAGAUUGCGUCAUCAGGCGUAACACCUAUGUAAACGGGGAAUACACGAUAAUAAAGCGCCAAGUGUUUGCUAGGACA